AGCCCUAAAUCUCCAUUGCAACACGCUUUCAAAGAGGCUUCCUUUUAUCAUCAGUAGUCUAAAAGGCCUCCUCUCUCUCCCCACACCUCAUGAAUCAGAACCUGCCUCCCCCUCCUCCACUUCGUCCACCACCACCGCUCAGCAACUCCUCCUUCAACAGCGACCAUCAUCAUCGCCAUUUACCCUGAUCGCUGCCCUUGCAUACGCUAUGUUUAUUUCUCUGAUACCUAUGGCAGAGGAACCUUUAACCUUCUUGGCGUCCUUCUUCAGAUCUUCCAUUCCUUGCUCCUAUUUCGUUCACAGCUCCAAUUUCAUUCUUUGAUCCGCUUCGGUUCUUGAUCCGAUUUCGUUCUCAGGUUCGAUUUAAUUCUUCUAUCUGAACCGGUAUGGAACUAUUCUCAUCAAUUGACACGGAUGAUUUGGCUGCUUGAAAUAGGACCAAAAGCAAGUGUGAGAGAUUAAUCAACUUGGGAGCCGAGAUUACAGGAAGUUCUUGAUAUUCAGGUCUCCAAAUUACUGUCCAUGUUACUCACUUACUCCCUUUUCUUUACUGGAUGAUCCUAAAGCAGGCAGGACUCAUAGUAGACUGCUCACAAUGGAAUAUAAGGAAAUUAUGGGCACUACAGACAUGUGUAUCAUCCCCUGAUAGAAUCAAAUAACAACGAAAGAUAAGUUCCUAAAUUAGGCAACAUCCAUGCAUCAUUUUGUAGGCUCUGAUAUCAAACUAUUAGUGACUGUAACUUAUUUUUUACUGACAGUAGUGAAACUGUAUUGUUAAUACGUUCUGCCAAGAUGAUCUUAAAUGGAACAUAUUAUGAUGUCUAACAUGUUGCUUUAAAAUUCUAUUUAAGAUUAGUUCUAUAAUAUAUUGGUAUUGUGUUUCCAAUUCAUGUAUAUUCUUCUAAGGUGGUUGUUAACAAAUAGAGAUUUGAUUGCUGAAGGUUCUUGAGAGAGUGCAGAGUAAUAUCUAUAGUCUGGCCGAGCUUCUCUUUACAAUCUCAAGCUAGAGGGGUGGAGAAAAAUUCUAAAGAGAAAGGAAUCAGCUGCAAACAAGGCAUCAAAUCUGCAAGUGAGGGUAGAGACGCAGCAAAUGUCCUGAAUUGUUGCUAGAAGAUGCAGAAUUUGACUUGGGAUAGCACCACGUGAUUCUAGAAGCUGCUCUUAGUGGAAGGUCAUUUAGAAAUUUUACAAUCACAUCUGUGACAGCAACAAAUCAGUGGGCUUGAUUAGUGGUGAAGGAAAGGUAAAAUUGAUGAAGCAAUUAUGUUGCAAGGUAUGUUGCAUUUGAUUCCAAUGGUGGACCCAUUGCUCAGGAGGUGAUUCUGUAGCUCACCUUUUUAAAGAAAAAAUUGUCCUCUAAAUUGUGGUUAGGGCUACCAAAUAUUGAUGGUGCUUAAGUAAAAUACUUUCUUAAUAUUGAAUGGGGCACAAGUAUAUCAGUUUUGCCUACUAUGUUCAUGAGGCUGAAGUAAAAUACUUUCUUAAUUUUUUCCAUUUGAUUAUAUUCAGUUUGUAUCUUUUAACUGUUGAAAUAUUGUUGUUAACUUCCUAAUUUUUAAAAUGGAUUUCACAGUAUAUAUGAACAAGAAAAUCUCAUAAUUGUCUGAAAUUAUAGUAAAAGGGAAACUAAAUCUUGCAAUUUCAAUCCAGCCCGUGAGUUUUAUUCAAGGAGAUCUAAUAAAAAAUGUAUAAAUUGGCUAUUGGAGAAUAAAUCUUUGGAAAAAAUGUGUGUAAGAGUCGAGUGCAUAAUGAAAAUUUCUUCUCUUUUCAGUUUUAAUGAUUCUUUUCUUUUUUAAUGUUGUGAAGGUAAUUUGGGCGGUUUCUUUCUUUGGUUGGUAUGUGUGCUUGAACAUGACUUUGGAUUUCAAUGAGCAUAAUUGUUUCAGGUGCUGCAAUGGAUGGAGAAAUGCUAUUGUCCUAUUUUAUUUGGCCGUUAAAAUUUUUCAGAUUGAGAUUCCUGUAGUUGUUUCAAAGAGUGAGCAGAGGGAUGAUUGUGAGAGAAAAGUGAGCUGAGGCUGGAAACUAAUGUUGUUUUAUUCACUUGAGCAUCUACGUUCCAAGCUCGAGUAGUCACUAAAUUUUUAUACUAAUUCUAAUUGUCAUAGGCUUAAAGCAAAGCCCAGAUACUUAAAGUAAUAUUUUGUUGUGUCAAUUAUUGUAAAUACAUGUUAUUCUUUUUGUUGAA